CACCAUGUAAGAAGUCCCUUUGCUCUUCCUUGGUCUUCUGCCAUGACUGUGAGGCCUCCCCAGCCAUAUGGAACUCCAUUUUUAAAAUAUGAAGAAUAUUCUUUUUUUGUUUGCUUGUUUUUUGAGAUGAACUCUUGCUCUGUCACCCAGUCUGGAGUGGAGUGGCGCAAUCUCGUCUCACUGCAACCUCUGCCUCCCGGGUUCAAGCAACUCUCCUGCCUCAGCUUCCCAAGUAGCUGGGACUACAAGUGUGCACCACCAUGACUGGCUAAUUUUUUUUUUUUUUUGUAUUUUUAGUAGAAACAGGAUUUUGCCACAUUGGCCAGACCGGUCUCGAAUUCCUGACCUCAGACCAUCCACCCGCCUCGGCCUCCCAAAGUGCUGGGAUUACAGGCGUGAGCCCCGUGCCUGGCCAAAAUGUGAAGAACAUUCUUAGCUCGUGGGCCAUGGAGAAACAGGUGGCAGCUGGAUUUGGCCUAUGGGCAAUAGGUUGCCCGUGCUAGCUCCCAAUUCUUCAGACACUCCUGGCAGCAGGUGAACUGCACCUCCUGGAGAUACCAGCGCCCCAGAGGCUCAACCCCAUCACAAUGCAUCCUCAUUCUGUGGUCUGAACAUGGGCCAGGCAAGGCUGAGCCUGGAGGCUCUGGUGGCCCCACUUCUUCUCUUCUGUCCCUCCAGCCCUGAGAAGGAACUCCUGUAGUUACCAUAUCUGGUCACUGCAGCAUCUCCAUUUGCCCUUCCAACCCUCCAACACUGGAGUAGUCAAUUCCCUGAAUACAUCCCUUCUGUAAGAAAUGCCUUGCAUGGAAUCGUUUUCCUGCUUGGACUCUGACUGACACAGAAAUCCUUCCAUUUUAGGGAGGGGAAGAAGAAAAGGAAGCCAAAAGGGAGAAGUCAAAGACUGAAGAGGCAAAUUAGGAGUGUCCCCACACUGAAGGGAAAAGAAGCUCAGGAAGAAGGUCCUGGGGAGCAGCAGUUGCCACUGCUGAGAGGUGAAGAGGAUGCCUGCGAAGAGGGUGAUGAGCUGAGGAACUUCCAGAAGUCAUCCUCAGGGGGUGGCAGGGGCCCGGGAGCUGGAGGCAGACAAGACACAGCCUCCUCUUGUGAGAGUUUGUGAGAGGCAGGGUCUGAGGCAGUCCCUUGUGAUGCAGGAGAGAAGCAUGGAGAUGGCUCUGCCCGUGUCAGGACUGUCAAUCCUCCCAGUUGGCAAACACAUGGAACCCGGGGGUAGCCACCUUCCCUCCUGACUCUCUCCCUCCCUACACUGCACUUUCCUGGCCCUGCCUCUGAUUACAGAACACACCUGGGCACUGGCUGAAGUUCCCUGCUCCUGCAGAUAUUCUUGUGGGUAAUGGCAUCCAGAAAGAAUGAAACCUUGAAGCAGAAGACAUUGGGUGGCUGAGUCAGGGUGUGGGACUUGAGCCAGUUUCCACUCUGCAAAGAUCGGGAAACAAGCACCCUCUCCAUCUUCCCCAGCCUGGAGAUGCCAGCCAUGAGGACUCAAAGGGGUCUCUGGCCUGGCAUUCAGCCUCCUACCCCAGAGCCCCAGGGAGAGUACUGGGGACUGGAAGCACCAAGCCAAAGGCUCUGAGAGGCCACAGUGCUUGGGGAUUGAGGCUCUGAGCCCAGAAACUUUGCCAGAGAGCCACAUAGUAGCUCCAUAACCACCAACUCCCUGGAGCUAGAGGAAAGGAAUGAAGGGAGGCCAGGUCCAAGAACUCCUAGACCAGUCCUGGUGGUGCACAUCCUCAGGUACUUUCCCACAUAAUUAUCUUAACAACCUGUGAGGUAUUAUCAGAGGUGUUUGAAGCAGAGCAAUUCCAUCUUGAAUAGGGGCUGGGUAAAAUAAGGCUGGGACCUACUGGGGUGCAUUCCCAGGAGGUUAAGUCAUUCUUAGUGACAGAAUGACAUAGAAGUUCAGCACAAGAUACAGGUCACAAAGACCUUGCUGAUAAAACGGGAUGCACUAAAGCAGCCAGCCAGGCUGGGCACAGUGGCUCACACCUCUAAUCCCAGUACUUUGGGAGGCCGAGGCGGAUGGAUCACCUGAGGUCAGGAGUUUGAGAUCAGCCUGGCCAACAUGGUGAAACUGUAUCUCUACUAAAAAUACAAAAAUUAGCCGGGCAUGAUGGUGCACACCUGUAAUCCCAGGUACUCGGGUGGCUGAGGCGGGAGAAUCGCUUGAACUCAGAAGGCAGAGGUUGCAGUGGGCCAAGAUCGUGCCAUUGCACUCCAGCCUGGGUGACAAAAGCAAAACUCCAUCUCAAAAAAAAAAAAAAGAAGCCAGCCAAAACCAACCAAAACCAAGAUAGCAAUGAGAGUGACCUCUAGUCGUCCUCACUGCUUAUACGCUAAUUAUAAUGCAUUAGCUGCCAAAAGACACCCCCACCAGCCCCAUGACAGUUUACAAAUGCCAUGGCCAUGUAGGAAGUUACCCUGUAUGGUCUAAAAUGGGGAGGAACCCUCAGUUUUGGGAAUUCUCCACCCCUUUCCCAGAAAACUCAUGAAUAAAUGAAUAAUCCACCCCUAGUUUAGCAUAUAAUCAAGAAAUAACCAUAAAAAUGGUCAACCAGCAGCCCAAGCCACUGAUCUGCCUAAGGAGUAGCCAUUCUUUAUUCCUUUACUUUCUUAAUAAACUGUUUUGUUUUGUUUUGUUUUUUUGAGACAGAGUUUCACUCUUGUCACCCAAGCUGGAGUGCAAUGGCGUGAUCUCAGCUCACUGCAACCUCCGCCCCGCAUGUUCAAGCGAUUCUCCUGCCUCAGCCUCCUGAGUAGCUGGGGUUACAGGUGCGCACCACCACCCCCGGCUAAUUUUUUUUGUAUUUUUAGUAGAGACGGGGUUUCGCCAUGUUGAUCAGGCUGGUCUCUAACUCCUGACCUCGUGAUCCACCCGCCUCGGCCUCCCAAAAUGCUGGGAUUACAGGCCUGAGCCACCACACCUGGCACAUGACACCCUUUUUAACGGUAAGAAAAACUGAGUUUCAGUGAGGUUGCACAACAUUCCCAAAGACACACAAGCUACAACCUGGCAGGGUCCUCCUGACUCCAGAGCCUGCUCAGAUGUCCCAGAAAGAACCCCCCAGGAGCCUCAUUAGGGGCCCCAGUGGCCUGUGAAGAACUGGUGGAUAAACUCAGACCUAACACCAAAGCUGUGUCUAGAGAGGCAACUGCAGUCUAGAGAAGAUAGGUUACUGACCUAAGAAACCACAAAUUUCACCUUUGCUUCCUCUCCAUCAGGUACCCCAGGCCUUCUGACUUUCCCACCCUAAAGCCCAUCAGAUCCCAAACCUAUUUGACAUGGUUUCUUUUUUUUCUUUUCUUUUAAUAAAAACAUUAUGAACCUCUAAA
rnacentral:lncRNA from 1 species